rnacentral:pre_miRNA from 14 species
AGGUAAGCUUUUCUGCUAAACAGUGCCACGCUGGAUGUGCUCGUUAGUCAUAGUAACCUCAUCAAUUCAGGCUUAUGACUAGAGACACAUUCAGCUUGGCGCCAAACUAUGCAGAACUUUUUUAUC